rnacentral:rRNA from 1 species
AGUGAACGCUGGCGGUAGGCCUAACACAUGCAAGUCGAACGGCAGCACAGUAAGAGCUUGCUCUUACGGGUGGCGAGUGGCGGACGGGUGAGGAAUACAUCGGAAUCUACUUUUUCGUGGGGGAUAACGUAGGGAAACUUACGCUAAUACCGCAUACGACCUACGGGUGAAAGCAGGGGAUCUUCGGACCUUGCGCGAUUGAAUGAGCCGAUGUCGGAUUAGCUAGUUGGCGGGGUAAAGGCCCACCAAGGCGACGAUCCGUAGCUGGUCUGAGAGGAUGAUCAGCCACACUGGAAAUGAGACACGGUCCAGACUCCUACGGGAGGCAGCAGUGGGGAAUAUUGGACAAAGGGCGCAAGCCUGAUCCAGCCAUACCGCGUGGGUGAAGAAGGCCUUCGGGUUGUAAAGCCCUUUUGUUGGGAAAGAAAAGCAGCAGGUUAAUACCCCGCUGUUCUGACGGUACCCAAAGAAUAAGCACCGGCUAACUUCGUG